UCCCAGACUCCUACGGGAGGCAGCAGUGGGGAAUAUUGCACAAUGGGGGAAACCCUGAUGCAGCGACGCCGCGUGAGUGAGGAAGUAUUUCGGUAUGUAAAGCUCUAUCAGCAGGGAAGAAAAUGACGGUACCUGACUAAGAAGCCCCGGCUAACUACGUGCCAGCAGCCGCGGUAAUACGUAGGGGGCAAGCGUUAUCCGGAUUUACUGGGUGUAAAGGGAGCGUAGACGGAUAAGCAAGUCUGAUGUGAAAAUCCGGGGCCCAACCCCGGAAUUGCAUUGGAAACUGCAUAUCUAGAGUGUCGGAGAGGCAAGUGGAAUUCCUGGUGUAGCGGUGAAAUGCGUAGAUAUCAGGAGGAACACCGGUGGCGAAGGCGGCCUGCUGGACUGCAACUGACGUUGAGGCCCGAAAGCGUGGGGAGCAAACAGGAUUAGAUACCCGUGUAGAC
rnacentral:rRNA from 1 species